UACGGGGGAGCAAGCGUUGUUCGGAUUUACUGGGCGUAAAGGGCGCGUAGGCGGUCAGCACAAGUCAGUUGUGAAAUCUCCGGGCUUAACUCGGAAAGGUCAACUGAUACUGUGCGACUAGAGUGCGGAAGGGGCAACUGGAAUUCUCGGUGUAGCGGUGAAAUGCGUAGAUAUCGAGAGGAACACCUGCGGCGAAGGCGGGUUGCUGGGCCGACACUGACGCUCAGGCACGAAAGCGUGGGGAGCAAACAGG
rnacentral:rRNA from 1 species